rnacentral:rRNA from 1 species
UACAGAGGGUGCGAGCGUUGUUCGGAUUCACUGGGCGUAAAGGGUGCGUAGGCGGUCGGGUAAGUCUGAUGUGAAAUCUCACAGCUUAACUGUGAAACUGCAUUGGAUACUAUCCGGCUCGAGGAAUGGAGGGGAGACUGGAAUACUUGGUGUAGCAGUGAAAUGCGUAGAUAUCAAGUGGAACACCAGUGGCGAAGGCGAGUCUCUGGACAUUUCCUGACGCUGAGGCACGAAAGCCAGGGGAGCAAACGGG